GUUAGAGUCACCUCCUCCAACUCAGCUGCAGGCAGAAACAUCACGGGAAGUAUUUCAAGAGAGUUUGAUGGUUACCAAGUUGAUUAGAAGUAUUAAGGGAAACUGAGACUCUGAAGAUUCAUUUUAUCAUAAGGACAAUCAUGUCCUCCCAAAAAACAAGCUGCUAUGGCAUCUGCUGUCAAGAGGGAUUGCCAGAUACAAUAUACCCUAUAUUACAGAGUCGACACGAAGUUGCACAUUUUACCCAGGCCGAUUUCUGAGUUACGGGCCUCUGCAGAUGAAAGAAGAUAGAAAGAAAGCAAAAUCUAUCUUCACAGUGCAGUAGACAAGGAGAGAGCUCUGCCUAGGACCACCACCAUCUGGAUACUUGAACAGAACGCAAGCUGUGCAACACUUCUUUUAGGCUUUAAGAUCAACUGCCCCUUUUACAGACUUCACACUGAAUUACCUAAGUCCAGCCUCAGAGUCAGACAUGUGCAUUGGGAAGGGGAGGACAGUGGAGUAGCCAGGCAAGGAGGGCAGCCAGGAGAACCAACAUUUCACUAUUGAACAUAUGUUCUUCCUUGCUCUGUGGCUGCAUAAUUGUUUCUGUUGAGCUCUCAUCACUUCCACUCAAGGCCUAAAGUGAUGAAACAAUUCUAUCCUGGUUUGCCAAUGGCUUGCAUUCUAGACUUGGUUUCUUUCCAUAAAUAAUUAACAGUAAUGCUUUAUUAAAUAGAGUAUGGCCUUACUUAUGCUUCAUAGACCUCUUGGCAUUGAACUCCCUGAGGUAUCAGAGCUUUAACCCAGAAAAAGAGCAGGAAUGCUAUCACUCUUCCUCCCAAGCCAAGGGCAACCAGUGACAAUCCAUUGCAGGGGGCAGCAAACUAUAACCUACACACCAAAUUCUGCCCAUCAUCUGGAUUUUUAUGGUCCACAAGAAUAAUUUUUACAUUUCCAAAUGACUGGAAAAAUAUUCUGUGACAAAUGAAAAUUACAUGAAAUUCAAAUAUCCAUGAUUAUAACUCGAUCUACUAGAACACAGCAAUGCUCAGUCAUUUAUAUAUUGUCUAUGACUGUUUAUUCACUAUAAUAGCAGAGUAGUUUCCCACAAAGCCUAAAAUAUUUACUGCCUGGCCCUGUACAGGAAAGUUUGCCAACCCUUUAUAUAUUGUAGCCCUCCUUGACCAAAUCCAGGCUCAGACUCUCAAUACUUUUAAGUUAGUGCCUCAACAAAGUAUCAAUCAACUAGAAUUGGCACCUAGAGCUAAUGAAAUCCCAAGCCCAUCCAACACUAGGACUAUAGGUCUUUAUAUGUAAGUUGGUAAAGUAGUGUAUAAAUCUUCUAAUGGUAGUGUCAGAAUAAUCCUAGGAGAUGCCAAUCAAAAUCAAAGCAAUAACUAGACUACUUACCUUUCCCUAUAGGAAGUCGGUUGAUCUAUAAUACAAAGCUGAGAUGUUGUUUUUUUAAUAAGCAACAUUGUGAAAGUAAAGAUUUUAAAAACCGUGAUUCACAUUGUUUGGAAAACAUCCAAAAGGAAAGGAACAUAACGCUCUGCUUCCUUUUGGAAGAAAGAAACAUAAUGCUCUGUUUUGAUUUUUUGCUUUUCUAUUUUCUCUAGUUGGUGUUUUAGGAUCAAAGUUUGAGAUUAAUGCUCAGGCACUGCAAUGGCUCUCUAGCUCACGGUAGGCCAGGGAAAGCUAUCUGCCCCACCUAUGCUGUCUGUCCAACUUCUGUAACUCAUACAGUAACAAGACUGGUUUUCUAACAUUGUGCAAUGUAUAAUAAAAUGACUCUUGUUUGCCUUAAGGAUAUCACAGCUGAAAGAGCUGCAUAUAUGAAGCCAUGCAAAUUCCAAGGCCCAAGGCACAUUUAGAACUUUUUUAUUUUGUGAAUAACCUUCUGACCCAGGUUAUAAACAAAAACCACAAUAAUCUAAUCUCAAAACUUCAGUUUUACUGAUAACAUUGUUUUCUAUCAAUUGAUAACCAGGUAAAUGGAAACACCUGAAGACAACACAUCCCUUACUCAUCCCCAUGCCCACGUUUUUGUUUUUGUCUUUAAUCCUUGCUGAGUUGCACAACUGUCCUGUUUUGAUUUCAGUCAGAUUUGGCCAGUGCCUUCUGCUAGUCUAUAAUGUCACCUCUUCUGACUUAGCUGUUUGUUCAAAUAGAUGAUAAAUUCGCCAAAUCAGUGAGAUUGUCAUCAGUGCCAAAUAUCUUCCCAUAUGCCAAACUAAAAUCUAAUGGGCAUAUUUGGAAAAGCAUAAAGAUUAGGGCAGUUAACUACAGUUAAAACCUUUAUAACUUCUUUCUCUUCCAAAAAGCCAGGAGACAUCUAUCCAUUCUUCAGGGUUUUAGAUAUGGUCUUCAAAGCCUCUGCCUGCCCGAACAAGUGAAAGAAACAAAGGUUGUUCUUCCGAGACUCACAUAUUCUCAGGUCUUCUAUAACUAUCACACUGGAAUAACAUAAAAUCACACUGGGAUAACAUAAAAUCUCUAUCAUUCAAUCUUCUUUUCCAAGGUCUGUCUUUUAAAUCUGCCUGUUUGGUAGCCAUGUCUUCUUGAGAAACCUUCAAUCACAUGAUUCAACACACUGUAGGGCCUCAGUGAAGGUAUCCAUGUGGUGUUGAGGGAACACAGACUUACUAUAUGGUCUAUCUCUCACUCACCCACAUGUUCCUCAAGGACAAGAUCCAUCUUCUUCAUUUUUGUAUUCCCACGAUAGUGCCAGGAACACAGUACAGACACCACAACAGCUUAUCAACUCCAUUUUCCAGGUCAUGACCUAGAAAUACAUCUUAACCUUAAUUUUACUUAAACCUGGAAUUUAAUACUCUCCACCUAUCAUAACUGGUAAUUUUUUUUCUUUUUCACUUUUUUAGUUGAAGUUUUAAAAAUUGUGUUAUUAAAUCCUGAGUAGUUACAAAAUAAUAUUUAAAACAUUUAAAAUAUGGGUAUUAUAUGUAUCAAAACAUCACAACGUACCCCAUGAAUAUGUACAAUUAUUAUUUAUCAAUUCAGAAAAAAUUUUAAAGAUGAAUAAACUACAAAUACAGUCCAGAAACAGACCUAAAUAUACUAUACUAUCAACUGAUUUGUGACAGAGUCAACUGCAAUACAAUGGGGAAUAAAUGCUGCUGGAUAAAUUGGAUAUUCAACUGGAAAAAAAAUGAAAUUAACUCCUAUGUUACAACACACUCAAAUACUUAUUUGAACUGGAUUACGGAUCUAAAUGUAAACUAAUAAAGCCUCCAAAUGAAAAUGCAGAAUAUCUCCUUCUAUGGCAUAGGCAAUGAUUUCUUCAAUAGGACACAAAAACUAUUAACCAUAAAAGAAAUGAUGAUAACUUGAACUUGGUCAAAAUUAAAAACUCUGUUCAUAAAGACAUCAAGAAAACGAAAAGGCAAGCAACAAUGAGGGGGCAGCAUUGGUAAUAACACAAUCAGCAAAUGACUUACAUGCAAAAUAGAUAAAGAACUCCUACAAAUCAAAACAGAAGAGAUGAAGAAUCCAUUUUUGGCAUAAGCAAAGGAUUGAACAGGAUUUCACAAAAGGAGACACCUGAAUGUCCAAUAAACUCAUGAAAAGGUGUUUCACAUCAUUACCUGUUAAGGAAGUACAAAUUAAAGCCAUGAUAAACUACUACAACACAGCUACUGAAGUGGCAAAAAUUAAAAAAAAAAAAAAACUUGACAGUAUCAAAUACUGACAAGGGUAUGGAGCAACUGGACAUAACUGGUGGGAGUACAGAUGAUAUAAAUACCUUGGGAAACUGUUUGGUGAUUUCUUACAAAAUUGAUCCAUCAAUUUUACUCCCAGGUACUUAUCCAAAGAAACAAAAACACAAUUCACAAAGAGAUUUGUUCCAUAAUGUUGAUAGCAUAUGUUUCUCAAAAAAGCCAAAAACUGGAAAUAAUUCAAAUGUCCACCAAUAGGUGAAUGGAUAAACAAAUUAUGGCAUAUUUGAGCAACAAAAUACUUAAAAAGACCAAAAAAAAAUACUGAUAUAUGCAACACGUAUGAAUCUCAAAAAUAAUACAUUGAGAAAGAAGUCAGGCACAAAAGAACACAUGCCAUAUGAUCUAAUUUAUGUGAGAUCCAUUCUCCAUUAAUUGCCCUGGCAUCUUUGUUCAAAAUCAAUUGAUCGUAUUUGUGUAGGUUUCAUUUUGGACUCUCUAGUCUGCUGAGUUGGAUCUAAAUGUACAUGUCUUUAUCAAUACCACACUGCCUUGUUCAUAGUAGCUUUACUGUAAUUAAAAUUGGAUAGUGUGAUCCUUCCAACUCUGUUCUUCUUUCUAGAUUGUCUUGGCUACUCUAGUUCCUUUGCCUAUCCAUGCAAAUUUUAGAGUCGGCUUGUCUGUAUCUACAAAAAUACGCUGCUGAAAUUCUGAUGGGAAUUGCACGAAACCUAUAGAUCAAUAUGGGGAGAAAUGACAUCAUAAACAGAUUGAAUCCAACAAUCUCGAAUAUGCUAUGUCUGCACUUAAAAGUCUUUUAAAAUGUCUUUCAACAGUGUUUUAUAGCCUUUGGCACAUGGAUCCUGCACAUAAUUUUGCUACUUCUCUAAAUACUGUUUUCUAAAUUGUUCACUGCAGGUAUACAGAAAUAUAAGUGGCGUUUAGACGUUUCUGUGUCUUGAGACUUUCAUAAAUUGUUAUUAGUUCUAGGAGAUUUUUCAUAGAGUUCUCAGUAUUUUAUACAUAGGUGAUCACAUCGUCUACAAAUAGUGGCAGUUUUAUUUAUUCUUUUUCAAUAUGUAUGUCUUUUAUUUAUUUUUCUUGCCUUAUUGCACUGAUUAGGAUCACCACUACAAGGUUAAGUAGAAGAAAUGAAAGCGAACAUCCCUGCCUCAAUUUCAGUCUUAGGGGAAAAGCGUUCACUCUUCUACCAUUAAAUAUGAUGUGAGUUGUAGGGUUGUUUUUUUUUUUUUUUUUUCUUUUCCAGAUGCACCUUACCAGUUUAAAAUUCCUAAUAAUUCUAGUUUGGUAAAAUGUCUUAUCAUGAAUGGAUUUUGAAUUUUGUCAUUUGCUUUGGCUGUACCAGUUGAGUCAUUUAAAAUGAGAAAUUACAGUGAUUUGUGAAUGUUGGCCCAACCAUACAUUACUGGGGUAAAUAAACCUCACUUGGUCAUAAUGUUUUAUAUUUUUUACAUAUUGCUGCAUUUGAUUUGUGAAGAUUUUUUACAUCUGUGUUCAUGAGGACUGUUCGUCUAUAAUUCUCUUUUUCUGUAAUAUCUUUGAUUUUACUAUCAGUGUAAUAAAGACCUCACAAAAUAGA
rnacentral:lncRNA from 1 species